ensembl:lncRNA C1QTNF1-AS1 C1QTNF1 antisense RNA 1
ACACCGCAUGCCUCUCCCAGAGAACUAGAGGCUGCAGCGGCAGCAGUUGGAGCAUCUCACUGCGGGGCUCGGGAAGGAGGAAAGGAGUGAGCAUGUCCUGCUCCUGCAUGUCCCUGCUUAAGCUCAGGACUGGCCCUUCCAGGCCAAGGACCCCAGCAUAGACCCCAGGACAGGGCCCCAAGGAUCCCUGGCUCAUGAGAGCGGCUUGCUGGGCUGCCCCAAGAGAGCCUGAAGGAAACACAUUGUUGAGCUGAGCUGACGUCGCUGUUUCUUCCAGACUGCUCUCUAAAGUGGGCAGGGUAGCGACCGGCCGGCUCCGAUGGUGACGUCCCACUGCCAAGGGGUGGGAGUGGGGAGAGUCUCCACAGAGCUUCGGAGAAGCUGCUAAGAUGGAAAAGUGGAAACUUGGCAGACAGAUCCAGCCUCCCUGGCCACUGGCCCAUGCUCGUGGCUCCUGGAUGGCGCUGCCACGUUCUGAGCAGCUUGGGACAGGUGGAGAUCAGGACUGGCAGCUGCAAGGACACACCAGAGCCACAGAAACUAAAGAGAAUUUCCAAAAGGAGUCUAUGGUGAAGUCUCUGAGGAUGCAAAGAAGACAAGGAGAAUGAAAAUCCAAUGAAAGCCUGAUUGUAUUUGUUGACCUUAAGGAAAGUGAUUUUAUGGUACAGCCUCUCUGGAAGGGAGGGUGUGUUCGCUCACAGAAUGCAAAUACCCUUUGACCCCCUAAUCUUUCUUCUAGGAGUUUCUCCUACAGAUAAACUUAGAAGGGUGCUCAAAUAAGUAAGUUCAAGGAUAUCCUCUGAAGCAUUGCCGUAGUAUAAAAAAAGCACAGAUACCCUCAAAGGACAUCAUUAGGGGCCUGGUAAAAUAAAUUCCACACAGUGGAACACCGUGUAGCUCUUUAGAGAAUAAACAGCUCUCUAUAUGUGAUCUGGAACAAUCUCCAAGCUAUAUUGUGAAGUGAAAAUUACAAACCCUUACUGAAAAGCACUAAAGAAAAUCCAAAGAAAUGGAAAAGCAAAGCGUGGUCUUAGAUAGAAGACUCAAUAUCAUUAAAAAAAAAAAAAAACUCAGUUCUCGCUCAAUUAAGCUAUAGAUUCCAAGCAAUUCCAUUCAAAAUCCCAGAAGGUUGAAGGUGGGUGAGGUAGGAGGGGACUUGUCCUACAUCAUAGGAAGGCUUAUUAUAAAGACAUAAUAAUGAAGAUACUGGUAUUGGAACAGAUGUGAUCAAGUAUAUUAGUUCAACAUGAUAGAAGGCCCACCCGACAAAGACCCAUGUGUGUAUGAAAACUUGAUCUAUGACAAAAUUGGCAUUGCACGUAUAUCAAUGGGGAUGGGAUGGAUCAAUUCCUAAAAACACACAAGAUGAUGGGGAAUCCACAGAAAAAGAAACGUAAACAGCCAAAAAGUGUAAGAAAAGAUAUACAACCUCACAGUAAUCAGGCAAGGAGAAGACACUGAUUACCAUCAGAUUGGCAAAAUUAAGCCAUCUGAUGAUGUCUGUGGAGCUGUUACUGGAAAGGGUCCCAAACCAGACCCCAAGAGAGGGUUCUUUGAUCUUGAGCAAGAAAGAAUUUGGGAUAAGUCCACAGGGUAAAAUACAAGCAAGUUUAUCAAGAGAGUAAAGGAGGCCGGACGCAGUGGCUCAUGCCUGUAAUGCCAACACUUCAGAAGGCCGAGACAGGCAGACCACCUGAGAUCAGUUCAAGACCACCCUGGCCAACAUGGUGAACCCCCAUCUCUACUAAAAAUAUAAUUACCCCUAUUUACCCCUAUUCCUGCCUAACCUCCCAGGAAUACAGCCCAGCAGGUCUCAGCCUUAUUUUACCCAGCCCCUGUUCAAGUAGCAUGCCUGUAAUCCCAGCUACUCAGAAGGCUGUGGCAUGAGAAUCACUUGAACGUGGGAGAUGGAGGUUGCAGAGAGCCAAGAUUGCGCCAUUGCACUCCAACCUGGGCAAUAGAGCAACACUGUGCCAAAAAAAAAAAAAAAAAAAAGAAAGAAAAGAAAAGAAAAA